CAUGUACUCCCUCCGUCCGGAAAUACUUGUCAUCAAAAUGGAUGAAAAUGGAUGUAUCUAGAACUAAAAUACAUCUAGAUACAUCCAUUUCAAUGACAAGUAUUUCCGGACGGAGGGAGUACAUG
rnacentral:pre_miRNA from 1 species